GAUGAAGAACGCAGUGAAAUGCGAUACUUGGUGUGAAUUGCAGAAUCCCGUGAACCAUCGAGUCUUUGAACGCAAGUUGCGCCCGAAGCCAUUAGGCCGAGGGCACGCCUGCCUGGGCGUCACACGUCGUUGCCCCCCCCAUCUACUCCUUCGGGAUUGCGGGGGGCGGAUGAUGGCCUCCCGUGUGCCUCGCCGCGCGGUUGGCAUAAAUGCCAAGUCCUCGGCGACGCACGCCACGACAAUCGGUGGUUGCGAAACCUCGGUUGCCCGUCGUGUGCGGUCGUCGCGCAUCGAGGGCUCGAAAAAAUUGCCGGGUUCCGGCUCGGCUUUCAACGCGACCCCAGGUCAGGCGGGGUUACCCGCUGAAUUUAAGCAUAUCAAUAAGCGGAGGA
rnacentral:misc_RNA from 1 species